GAUGGCCUCGCGUCUGAUUAGCUAGUUGGUGAGGUAACGGCCCACCAAGGCGACGAUCAGUAGCCGGCCUGAGAGGUUGAACGGCCACAUUGGGACUGAGACACGGCCCAGACUCCUACGGGAGGCAGCAGUGGGGAAUAUUGCACAAUGGGGGAAACCCUGAUCCAGCGACGCCGCGUGAAGGAAGAAGUUUUUCGGUUUGUAAACUCCUGUCAUCGAGGAAGAUAAUGACGGUACUCAACGAAGAAGCGCCGGCUAACUACGUGCCAGCAGCCGCGGUAAUACGUAGGUCACAAGCGUUGUCCGGAAUUACUGGGUGUAAAGGGAGCGCAGGCGGGAAGACAAGUUGGAAGUGAAAUCCAUGGGCUCAACCCAUGAACUGCUUUCAAAACUGUUUUUCUUGAGUAGUGCAGAGGUAGGCGGAAUUCCCGGUGUAGCGGUGGAAUGCGUAGAUAUCGGGAGGAACACCAGUGGCGAAGGCGGCCUACUGGGCACCAACUGACGCUGAGGCUCGAAAGUGUGGGUAGCAAACAGGAUUAGAUACCCUGGUAGUCCACACCGUAAACGAUGAUUACUAGGUGUUGGAGGAUUGACCCCUUCAGUGCCGCAGUUAACAUAAUAAGUAAUCCACCUGGGGAGUACGACCGCAAGGUUGAAACUCAAAGGAAUUGACGGGGGCCCGCACAAGCAGUGGAGUAUGUGGUUUAAUUCGACGCAACGCGAAGAACCUUACCAAGUCUUGACAUCCCUUGACGAUGCUGGAAACAGUAUUUCUCUUCGGAGCAAGGAGACAGGUGGUGCAUGGUUGUCGUCAGCUCGUGUCGUGAGAUGUUGGGUUAAGUCCAGCAACGAGCGCAACCCUUAUGGUCAGUUACUACGCAAGAGGACUCUGGCCAGACUGCCGUUGACAAAACGGAGGAAGGUGGGGAUGACGUCAAAUCAUCAUGCCCUUUAUGACUUGGGCUACACACGUACUACAAUGGCGUUAAACAAAGAGAAGCAAGACCGCGAGGUGGAGCAAAACUCAGAAACAACGUCCCAGUUCGGACUGCAGGCUGCAACUCGCCUGCACGAAGUCGGAAUUGCUAGUAAUCGUGGAUCAGCAUGCCACGGUGAAUACGUUCCCGGGCCUUGCACACACCGCCCGUCA
rnacentral:rRNA from 1 species